rnacentral:misc_RNA from 1 species
GGCUGGAUCACCUCCUUUCUAAGGAGCCUUCCUUGCUCGCAAGAGCAAAGGCAUCCUGGUCAAACACUCCGGCGACGGAGUGCAUCCUGUAAACCAGCUUUGUCUGCUAUUUAGUUUUGAGAGACCAGGGCCUCUCGAGGUAUUGAGAGGUUUUUUGCUCUUUGAACAAAAGAUGAACGCGUGAAUGUGGGCUAGUAGCUCAGCUGGCUAGAGCACACGACUGAUAAUCGUGAGGUCGGAGGUUCGAGUCCUCCCUGGCCCACCAGAUCUUCAGGGGGUGUAGCUCAGCUGGGAGAGCGCCUGCCUUGCACGCAGGAGGCCAUCGGUUCGAACCCGUUCACCUCCACCAGUUCACGAUGAAGUUUAUCGAUCUUUGACAAUUGCAUAAGACAAACAACGAUGCACGAGCAAGAAGUGCAAGGUUUACAACUGUAACAACCAAUAGAGCUUUAAAGACUUUUUUAUGGUCAAGCUACUAAGGGCGUACGGUGGAUGCCUUGGCAUCGGGAGGCGAUGAAGGACGCGGUAAGCUGCGAUAAGCUUCGGGGAGCCGCUAAACAGGCUUUGAUCCGGAGAUUUCCGAAUGGGGAAACCCGGCGGGGAUUAUGCCCCGUCAUCGCAUGGUGAAUACAUAGCCAUGCGAGGCGAACGCAGGGAACUGAAACAUCUAAGUACCUGCAGGAGAAGAAAUCAAUUGAGAUUCCGUCAGUAGUGGCGAGCGAACGCGGAAUAGGCCAAACCAGAGUUACUACGGUGACUCUGGGGUUGUGGGACCCCAACGUGGGAUUGAGAAUGGGUAGCUGAAGGCUCUGGAAAGUGCCGCCAUAGCGGGUGAUAGCCCCGUAAGCGAAACCUUGACUCACCCUAGGGUGUUCCCGAGUACCACGGGGCACGUGAAACCCCGUGGGAAUCUGGGUGGACCAUCAUCCAAGCCUAAAUACUCCCCGAUGACCGAUAGCGCAUAGUACCGUGAGGGAAAGGUGAAAAGAACUCCGAUGAGGAGAGUGAAAGAGAACCUGAAACCGUGCGCCUACAAGCAGUGGGAGCCCUAUGACUUCGGUCAGGGUGACCGCGUGCCUUUUGCAUAAUGAGUCAGCGAGUUACUUUCAGCAGCGAGGUUAAGCCGAUCUAGGUGGAGCCGUAGCGAAAGCGAGUCUGAAUAGGGCGAUUCAGUUGCUGGGAGUAGACCCGAAACCGGGUGAUCUAUCCAUGUCCAGGGUGAAGCGUCGGUAACACGUCGUGGAGGCCCGAACCCACUUAAGUUGAAAAUUGAGGGGAUGAGGUGUGGAUAGGAGUGAAAGGCUAAUCAAACUCGGAAAUAGCUGGUUCUCCCCGAAAUAUAUUUAGGUAUAGCCUCGUACGAAUCGUUCCGGAGGUAGAGCACUGAAUGGGCUAGGGGUCCUACCAGAUUACCAAACCUAAUCAAACUCCGAAUGCCGGAAACGAAUAUACGGGAGUCAGACGGCGGGUGAUAAGAUCCGUCGUCAAGAGGGAAAGAGCCCAGAUCGCCAGCUAAGGUCCCUAAGUCUGUGCUAAGUGGAAAAGGAUGUGGGAAUGCUUAGACAACCAGGAGGUUGGCUUAGAAGCAGCCACCCUUUAAAGAAAGCGUAAUAGCUCACUGGUCAAGUGGGCCCGCGCCGAAAAUGUAACGGGGCUCAAGCACAGCACCGAAGCUGCGGAUUCACACCUUAAGGUGUGAGUGGUAGGGGAGCAUUGUGGUAACCGCUGAAGGUCGAUCGUGAGGACGGCUGGAGGAGCCACAAGAGAUUAUGCUGACAUGAGUAGCGAAAAUGCGGGUGAGAAACCCGCACGCCGUAAGCCCAAGGUUUCCUCCGUAAAGGUAAUCUGCGGAGGGUGAGUCGGCCCCUAAGGCGAGGCCGAAAGGCGUAGUUGAUGGGAAACAGGUUAAUAUUCCUGUACCGCCUGUGAAUGCGAUGGGGGGACGGAGAAGGGUAGGUCAGCCGGGUGCUGGACGUCCCGGUUUAAGCGUGUAGGUGGGAGCGGUAGGCAAAUCCGCUGCUCCAUUCAACAUCGAGGCGUGAUGACGAGGGCUUUAAGCCCAUAAAGUGAUUGAUCCCAUGCUCCAAGAAAAGCCUCUAAGCUUCAGUUCAUAGGUGACCGUACCGUAAACCGACUCUGGUGGGCGGGCAGAAAAUGCUCAGGCGAUUGAGAGAACUCUGGUUAAGGAACUCGGCAAAAUAACACCGUAACUUCGGGAGAAGGUGUGCCCUCAUUAGGUGUAGCGAUACGCACGCGAAGCCGAAGAGGGUCGCAGAGAAAUGGCGGUAGCGACUGUUUACUAAAAACACAGCACUCUGCAAACUCGUAAGAGGAAGUAUAGGGUGUGACGCCUGCCCGGUGCCGGAAGGUUAAGGGGAUUUGUCAGCGCAAGCGAAGCAUUGAACCGAAGCCCCGGUAAACGGCGGCCGUAACUAUAACGGUCCUAAGGUAGCGAAAUUCCUUGUCGGGUAAGUUCCGACCUGCACGAAUGGCGUAACGACUUCCGCACUGUCUCGACCAGAGGCUCAGCGAAAUUGAAUUCUCGGUGAAGAUGCCGAGUACCCGCGGCAAGACGGAAAGACCCCGUGAACCUUUACUACAGCUUGGCAGUGACGUUCGGGAUAGUUUGUGUAGGAUAGGUGGGAGACUUUGAAGCCGGGACGCUAGUUUCGGUGGAGUCGUCCUUGAAAUACCACCCUGAUUGUUCUGGACGUCUAACCUCGGCCCGUGAUCCGGGUCAGGGACACUGCCUGGUGGGUAGUUUGACUGGGGCGGUCGCCUCCCAAAGUGUAACGGAGGCGCG